GAGCCCUAUAGUUUCAAACAGAUUUUAAUUGUGUGUGUGUAUAUAUUGAUACAUUUAACACAUAGUAUGUCUCAUUGUUUUGAGUUGGAAGGUGAGUCAGAAGCCAGCUAGAUGGACAUUGCUAGAAGAGGAAUUCUCCUCUGUUUUGACAAAAGUUUUUUACUGGCUAGGGAUUCCUAGAGGACUGGUCAUACCUCUUUGCACUCUCGCCUUAUACAAAAAGCACAGAAUAAACACUGGCCAGAUGGAAAUGAACUAAGUGAUGCCCUUUAUACUAACGCGCAUAUCCAUUUCACAAUGCCAUGGACCAAUGUUCUCAUCUCAGUUGUGACUUAACUCUCUCUCCCCAACGAGCGAGGGGCUGAAUGAUCACCUUAGUCUUCACCGGAAGAAUUCUCCUGGGAUGACUUCAAGGAGUGAAAAUUAUUUGCAGAACCUUCAACAGAGUUGCUUAUUGAUGAAUCCAUCAGCUGUAGAGCUUCCCCCUUCAACUGUGGCCUGAAAGAUGAUGUUGGCUCACUUGAGGCACUGCUGGAAAUUGCCGUGUGUUCAGGGUGGGCGUAGACCUCUGAACCAGAGAAGCUUUUAUAGAUUUAGAGAAACUUUGUGGGGUACAGACUAAAUGGGGAGACUUCAUCUUCUCAUCAGAGCACUCUGGCAACCGGUAUCUGUACCACCAGAACAUUGUGUUUGCAGAUUGAAUGCCUGACGGUCUACAGGUUACUCCACCAGAGGCGGCACCUUCACACUCAGAGAAUAAGGCACCCAUGGGUCUGGUACCAUGUGACCAGCACUGCUCUGUGUUGUAGAAAACAAUUUGUUAAAGGGAAUAUUGAGACUCACACUGAGCCCAGCUUGGUCUUUGUGUCAUUGAAGAUGAAAAGAAACAGGAGAUGGAGUUUUGGGCU
rnacentral:lncRNA from 1 species